GCCCCCUCCGCCGGGGAGGCUGCGGGGCUGCAGGGGGCCGGCGCCGCUGAGGCUGCCGGGAGCGGCGGAGCUGUCCGUGGUGCGAGGCGCGGGGCCGCAGCGUCUAGCGCAGGAAGAACAGCCGGGGACGGUGGGAGUCCUCGCAGCCUCCGCCGAACGCUUGGCGCACGGUGCCGGGCAGAUCGGGUGCAUUUCCAAAGGGGAGGGAGAGUGGGUCUCCGAUCCCCAUUUUACAGAUGAGGAGAGUGAGGCCCGGAGAAGCCGCAGCGCGCCCCGGACCACCCGGCUGCCCGGUGGCGCGGGCAUCGGACCCCCGCUUGUCCCCGCUCCUGUAUUCGGUCGUAUCUACCGAGCGUUCACCGGGGGCGGAGUAAUAAUCAUAUGAGGGAACUGAGGCCCAGAGAAGCGAAGCGACUCGCCCG